CGGAUGAGUAUUUGGCCUCCUCUGCCUCUGACAGGUGCCUAAAGCAGCAGGGAUCAGGGAUUAAUCAACCUGCUUCCCUUCCCAGCGCCAGCUUCUGCUUAAUAGCUAUAUAUUGAAUUUACACACCAUUUGAUUAGAAGUGGACACCUACUGCUGAGACAUGAUGCUUUGUCUUGAAGAUUUUCAUUGAGGGAUGAUCUACGGAGGGCCACCAAAGCUCUUCAACUUAGAAAAAAAAAUCCACCUAACUAAACACAUCUCAGCUGAAUAGCAUUCACAGUUUACCAAACAGAGUUUAUGAGAGUUCUCUAACCGGAAGCACAGAGAAUUACAAAGAAGUGAGAGAGAAAGAACAAAAUGACAGAGUGAAGAAUUGCAAUUACUGGGCACAAAAAAUAGCAGUAUGCUAAACAUCAGAUAAACGGUUUGAGAGAUAAGGAGGACACAAAAAAACCUAUGGAUUGGAGGAAUGGUAGAGAGCCACGCAAGAAAGAACAAUCAGAGCAAACACAGCAGCCGAAUAAAUCUGUUUCUUUCUACCUCCAAACGAACCUGCCUAAGCAGAUUCUUUCAGAAGGGUAAGACAUACACAACAAAGCGUCUCUCCAAACAGCAGAAAGAUAGGCAAGAUUUGUAGAAGUCAUACAAUUCACUGACCAGGUACUCAUAUCGACAUUGGAGAGCCCAUUGUACCAAUCUCUAGUCUCUUAACUUUGACCAUAUGAGAAAAACUUCUACAAUGCUUUGUCUGCAAAACAUUGCAAAGCCAAUCACUUUCCAACUUCUUUGAAGCUAUUUAUAGGACCCUGAUAUGAUUCGAUGGCACAAACCAAUUUGAAGAUGUGAAGAUGCAAUUCAAAGGGAUAACUCACUCAAAUCUCCUUCAAAUCAAAUUUUCUUUUCAUGCUUUCUACAACCAUAUCAAGGGUACACUAUGCCAUUCUAUAAUACUUUUGACUGUACCUGUAUAAGAUCACAAACACAUUUAAUUUUCUCUUCAAAUUUGCCAUUUAAUAAAUCCUACUGGAUA